rnacentral:rRNA from 1 species
AUUGAACGCUGGCGGCAGGCUUAACACAUGCAAGUCGAACGAUGAUUAUCUAGCUUGCUAGAUAUGAUUAGUGGCGGACGGGUGAGUAACAUUUAGAAAUCUGCCUAGUAGUGGGGGAUAGCUCGGGGAAAAUCGAACUAAUACCGCAUACGAUCUACGGGGAAAAGGGGGCGCAAGCUCUUGCUAUUAGAUGAGCCUAAAUCGGAUUAGCUAGUUGGUGGGGUAAAGGCCCACCAAGGCGACGAUCUGUAACUGGUCUGAGAGGAUGAUCAGUCACACCGGAACUGAGACACGGUCCGGACUCCUACGGGAGGCAGCAGUGGGGAAUAUUGGACAAUGGGGGCAACCCUGAUCCAGCCAUGCCGCGUGUGUGAAGAAGGCCUUUUGGUUGUAAAGCACUUUAAGCAGGGAGGAGAGGCUAAUGGUUAAUACCCAUUAGAUUAGACGUUACCUGCAGAAUAAGCACCGGCUAACUCUGUGCCAGCCGCCGCAGUAA